AGCGAACGCUGGCGGCAGGCUUAACACAUGCAAGUCGAGCGGGCCUUUCGGGGUCAGCGGCGGACGGGUGAGUAACGCGUGGGAACGUGCCUUCUGGUUCGGAAUAACUCAGGGAAACUUGAGCUAAUACCGGAUACGCCCUUUUUGGGGAAAGGUUUACUGCCGGAAGAUCGGCCCGCGUCUGAUUAGCUAGUUGGUGGGGUAACGGCCUACCAAGGCGACGAUCAGUAGCUGGUCUGAGAGGAUGAUCAGCCACACUGGGACUGAGACGCGGCCCAUACUCCUACGGGAGGCAGCAGUGGGGAAUAUUGGACAAUGGGCGCAAGCCUGAUCCAGCCAUGCCGCGUGAGUGAUGAAGGCCUUAGGGUUGUAAAGCUCUUUUAUCCGGGACGAUAAUGACGGUACCGGAGGAAUAAGCCCCGGCUAACUUCGUGCCAGCCGCCGCAGUAA
rnacentral:rRNA from 1 species